ensembl:lncRNA
GUGCUCUUUAAAGCCGCAAAACGACUCUAGUCUCUCUUUCAGCAGCUCUUUAAAUAUUGAAGAGAACCAUCUUGUCCUGUCGUCCCGUUUUCUCCCAUUGUGUUAAAACUUUGUACUUCCCUCAGCCCUGUUAUAGCAGUGUGUCCGGUCUCUUGGACGUCUGAAGAGAAGCUUCGGUGGGUCAGUGAUCACCCUGAGGCUGACCCAGAAGGAGCGAGAUUUCAGGGGUGCUGUGGUCAGAGCCUGGUGAGCCAGGACUCCAUCUCCUCAGGUCAGGAGGUUAUAAAUCAACACAGGUUCAGCAAACCUUCCUACACAAAUCAUUAGCUUCUCCGCCUCCUUUCUGGAAAUCAGAGACACUGAACAGAAACAAACAGCUUUAGUGAGAUUUGGGGUGAAAACUCAUCUCUCAAACUGUUGAGGGGAAUUUAAGAAAAUCCUGUGCGGUGACCGCCUCAGGCUGUAUCCUCUACUAAAGGCUCAGGAAGAAGGCAGAGAGUCCAGAGUUUCCCAGAUGGCUCAGCAGUAAAGAACUCGCCUGCAGUUCGGGGGACACAGGUGCAAUACCUGGUUUGGGAAGAUUCCCUAGAGGAGGAAAUGGCAACCCGCUCCAGUAUUAAUGCCUGGAAAAGCCCAUGGAUAGAGGAACCCAGCAGGCUACCGUCCACGGGGUCCCAAAGAGUUGGACGCGAUUGAGCACACGUCCACAUCUUCCUGAUGAAAAGCUUUUCCCUCCGCAUGUAGGAUCUUAGCUCCUCAACCAGAAUGGAACCUGCAUCCCCUGCAUUGGAAGGUGAAGUCUCAACCACUGGACUACCAGGGAAGUCCCAUAAAAAUGCUUUACCCAGCUGUUCUUUCAACUGUCAUCCACAAAAGAGACCAGGGUGUAAAUCAACAUGAUAUCACUGAACGAGUCAUUGGGAAAAAGUGUGCAGGAGUACAACGUUAUAUGAUAUCUUCACCAUAUGGAUAAAAUAGAUAGAAAUAACCUCAAGAGUAGAUAAU